rnacentral:pre_miRNA from 1 species
AUCACCUGGGGAUUUGUUAAACUGCAGAUCCUGAUUCAGCAGGUCUGGGGUAGCCUGAGAUUCUGCAUUUCUAACAAGACCCCAGGUGACUCCCA